rnacentral:tRNA from 2 species
GCCCUUGUAGUAUAAACAAAUACACCAGCCUUGUAAACUGGAAAUGGCCCCCUACCCAAGGGCA